UACGGAGGAUCCAAGCGUUAUCCGGAAUUACUGGGCGUAAAGAGUUGCGUAGGUGGCAUAGUAAGCAAGCAGUGAAAGCGUGGGGCUCAACCCCAUAAACAUUGUUUGAACUGCUAAGCUAGAGAAUGAGAGAGGUCGCUGGAAUUCCCUGUGUAGGAGUGAAAUCCGUAGAUAUAGGGAGGAACACCGAUGGCGUAGGCAGGCGACUGGCUCAUUUCUGACACUAAGGCACGAAAGCGUGGGUAGCAAACGGG
rnacentral:rRNA from 1 species